rnacentral:rRNA from 1 species
UACGGAGGGGGCUAGCGUUGUUCGGAAUUACUGGGCGUAAAGCGCACGUAGGCGGCUUGGUAAGUUAGAGGUGAAAGCCUGGAGCUCAACUCCAGAAUUGCCUUUAAGACUGCCGAGCUAGCAGGUGAGAGAGGUGAGUGGGAUUCCGAGUGUAGAGGUGAAAUUCGUAGAUAUUCGGAAGAACACCAGUGGCGAAGGCGGCUCACUGGCUCAUACUGGACGCUGAGGUGCGAAAGCGUGGGGAGCAAACAGG